UAAUUAAUAAUAAUAAUAAUAAUAAUAAAAUUAACAAUAAUAAGAAGAAUAAAAAUAAAUAAAAAAUUUUGAUAUCUUGGUUUACAGUACGUUAUGUUAUUUAUAUAUAUAUAUAUAUAUAGUUUUUGUUUUAUUAUUUAUCGAAAAUAUUAAAAAAUUGGCUUUGCAUGGCCCUAUAUUACAACAUCGCGUCUUAAUAAAUAAUAAUUUUCAUUCAUACAUCUUAUCAUCUCUUUGACUUCUGUAACCAAUGAACAUUAAAAAAAUAAUAAUACAAAAUUUUUUAUUACUUUUUUAAUUCACUUUAUUCACUUGCACGUUUCAUCUCUUAAUCGAUGAAAAUUUAAAAUAAAUAAAUAAAAUAAUAAUAAAUUUUCGUCAUCUUCACUUCUCUUCUGCAUCGUCUUCUUCUCCUUUGCUUGAAAUCGGAGUGAACGACGACGUUACACGAAACUUCACUAGCUUUUCCAUCGGUUUUUCAAAAUUUCGGUCGAUUUCUUCUUACAACGGCGAUAUUAUACGGAAUCGGUGACGUUUCCACGAUAUCACUGACGGAAAUUCUAUCCCCCCUCUAUCGUUGUCGAUGGGUCAGCGAUAUUCGACAUCAUCGGCGAUAUCUCGGCGACUUCUUUGACGUUUUCUUCGUUAGGCAAGUGAUAACCAACCUGUUCAUUUACAUGGAUAUAGCUUUUAUCCUGUUGGGUGGGGUUUUGGUAAUUUUAACCCCAAGGAGGAUCCUUUGAAGGUAUAAUAUUGUUGACCCACCAGAGGAGACUACAGUCGGAGUUCCAAAGAAUGGAUGGGUGGCCAUUAGAUUUGAGACCGAUAAUCCAGGUAUAUGGUUGCUGCAUUGCCAUAUAGUGUCAUACCACAUGGGGAAUGAAUAUGGUGUUCCUACUGAAAGAUGGUGAUGGUCCAACAAGUAUGAUUCUUCCACCGCCUCAUGAUUUACCCAAAUGAUAGACUUCAACACCAUGUGUAUAUAAAUAUAUAUAUAUAUAUAUAUAUAAAAUCAGAUUUAAAUAAA